rfam:Candidatus Thrbacteria bacterium RIFCSPHIGHO2_02_FTLL_54_11 rifcsphigho2_02_scaffold_16045_b, whole genome shotgun sequence.
CGGGCCGUAGCUCAGUAGGCUAGAGCGCCAGGCUGGGGGUCUGGAGGCCGCAGGUUCGAGCCCUGUCGGCCCGA